rfam:Oryza glaberrima chromosome 6 Oglab06_0232_2, whole genome shotgun sequence.
AAUAAGUGCAGUUUUAACACUGUUCAUGUCCAACGUUUGACCGUUCGUCUUAUUUGAAAAAAGAUUAUGAUUAGUAUUUAUAUUAUUACUGGAUGAUAAAAUAUGAAUAGUACUUUACGUGUGACUAAUUUUUUAAAUAUUUUCUAUAAAUUUUUUAAAUAAGACGGAUAGUCGAAACGCUACACACGGAUAUUUAUGGCUGCACUUAUU